GACCACGUAGCUCAGUUGGCAGAGCAUUGGGCUAGUAUUCCAAAGGUCGUAGGUUCGAAUUCCACUGUGGCCA
rnacentral:tRNA from 1 species